rnacentral:rRNA from 1 species
UACGUAGGGUCCGAGCGUUGUCCGGAAUUACUGGGCGUAAAGAGCUCGUAGGCGGUUUGUCGCGUCUGCCGUGAAAGUCCGGGGCUCAACUCCGGAUCUGCGGUGGGUACGGGCAGACUAGAGUGCAGUAGGGGAGACUGGAAUUCCUGGUGUAGCGGUGAAAUGCGCAGAUAUCAGGAGGAACACCGAUGGCGAAGGCAGGUCUCUGGGCUGUAACUGACGCUGAGGAGCGAAAGCGUGGGGAGCGAACAGG